CAAUGGGAUGCGAAUCUCGAAAGCCUGUCUCAGUUCGGAUUGGAGGCUGAAACCCGCCUCCAUGAAGUUGGAUUCGCUAGUAAUCGCGCAUCAGCCAUGGCGCGGUGAAUACGUUCCCGGGCCUUGUACACACCGCCCGUCAAGCCAUGGGAGCCGGGGGGUGCCUGAAGUUCGUGACCGCAAGGAGCGACCUAGGGCAAAAACUGGUGACUGGGGCUAAGUCGUAACAAGGUAGC
rnacentral:rRNA from 1 species